UUCUACAUAAUCAAAGUCGGUGUCAAUAGCACAAUGAUAAUAGAUCGCUGAAGACCUGCCAAACGCGUGCAUAUUUGAUUUGCUAUUUCUGUCCGGUAUUUGACAUGUCGCAAAGAUGAUUCAGUAGUCGUCAAUGAUUAUUUGAGGACGAAACAGAUUCGGGUCCGAAAGAAUGUGUAAAUAAACCAAGCGAAGCAAUUGGAAAACAGACCCAAAGUUCGUCUGCGAGCCAUUGCAGCAAAAGUUUCGAGUAGUCCAGUAGCUGCCGCUGGUUCCAGAGUAUUGUUAGCAUCUGUACAGUCAAGACCUCUAGCCACACGUGCUCCUGCCACCAAAUGCCUCAGAACCUGGGUUCUGACUAAUCGUCUCUGCCUCCGCACACCGGCUUCAGCUUCUCUAGCAGCUCUACCCAGGUCUUCGCAGACACCAGUAACUUCUCCAUAAAUCUCUAACCCAGACAUGGAGAGGUAGUGGGUUUGGCCAGAUGAAUUUUUUCCAGUUUGCUGUAAACGCAGGUGACGCCAGCCCUGAACCUCUUCAGCAGGAGGUUCUAGGGUCCAAGUUGCAGUACUACCAGGUUCAUUAAGAGAGCAGUCAUCGACAUGUGUAUACAACGUUGUCCAGUUUAUACCAUCCUUGGAAACCUAUCAGAUUGUUGGUUUGAUUUAGAUUUGAAUAAAAUUUUAUAUUUCAUUGAUCUUAUCGAUCACGAAUGUGGGAAACGAUAUGAAUAAUGACAUUCGUUCAUCUACUUACUUGGAACAUCCAAUUUCUCAAAGCACUGCGACCAUAUCCUCUUGCAUGUCUCAAACUAUAAGCACUCGGAAUUAGCCACACACCUAAAUCCACCGAAAACCAAGCUCGUUUAUCGUCAUUUGUAUGACAAUUUAAAGCUGACGGAUCUCGACUAAGAAUGUCUUCGAGUCGACCAUAUGGCAAGAUGCGGCCAUCGCUGGAAGUUACCACAACUAAUCCAUAUUGCCCUGGGUUUACCCAUUCCGAACUGGUCCUGAAAUAAUGAAAUUG
rnacentral:misc_RNA from 1 species